AGGAAUUUAACUCCAAGUGGGUUAAUAUUGUCAUACGGAGUAAGAAGCAUACGAGGUUGAGCUGUGAUGGAGGGAAGGGUGCUAAUUAAACCAGACCUACUUAUAGUUCCAUUCAAUACUCUCGGAGGUUCGUGUCUUCAUACAUGGAACCGCGUUCAGUUCCUUCCGCUGUGCAUUAAAGCAAGUGAAAUUCUUUAUUUCUCUAAAGACUCUGAUAAUUAACCAGUAUAUUGUAUUGUCCCCGACUCGAGUCAUUGUGAUCGAGCCAUUCUAUUCAUGUAUUCAAUGUUUAUACUCUACAGUCAGAAAGUUCAACCAUGAAGUCCAUUUUUUU